rnacentral:rRNA from 1 species
GAUGAACGCUAGCGGCAGGCCUAAUACAUGCAAGUCGAACGGUGUCUUCGGACAUAGCGGCGCACGGGUGCGUAACACGUAUGCAACCUACCUUACAUUGGGGGAUAGCCUUUCGAAAGGGAGAUUAAUACCGCAUAAGACAGUAACUAGGCAUCUAGUAGCUGUUAAAGAUUUAUCGAUGUAAGCUGGGCAUGCGACCAAUUAGCUUGUUGGUGAGGUAAUGGCUCACCAAGGCUAUGAUUGGUAGGGGAACUGAGAGGUCAAUCCCCCACACUGGCACUGAGAUACGGGCCAGACUCCUACGGGAGGCAGCAGUAGGGAAUAUUGGGCAAUGGACGCAAGUCUGACCCAGCCAUGCCGCGUGCAGGAUGAAGGCGUUAUGCGUUGUAAACUGCUUUUAUACAGGAAGAAACGACUCUUGCGAGAGGCAUUGACGGUACUGUGUGAAUAAGCACCGGCUAACUCCGUGCCAGCAGCCGCGGUAAUACGGAGGGUGCAAGCGUUGUCCGGAUUUAUUGGGUUUAAAGGGUGCGCAGGUGGUUUAUUAAGUCAGUGGUGAAAGACGGUCGCUCAACGAUUGCAGUGCCAUUGAAACUGGUAGACUUGAGUAAAGUAGAGGUGGGCGGAAUUGAUAGUGUAGCGGUGAAAUGCAUAGAUAUUAUCAAGAACUCCAAUUGCGUAGGCAGCUCACUUGGCUUUUACUGACACUCAUGCACGAAAGUGUGGGUAUCAAACAGGAUUAGAUACCCUGGUAGUCCACACUGUAAACGAUGAUAACUAGGUGUCGGCCGAAUCUGGUCGGUGCCACAGCGAAAGCGUUAAGUUAUCCACCUGGGGAGUACGCCGGCAACGGUG